CCUACGGGAGGCAGCAGUGGGGAAUAUUGGACAAUGGGCGAAAGCCUGAUCCAGCCAUGCCGCGUGUGUGAAGAAGGUCUUCGGAUUGUAAAGCACUUUAAGUUGGGAGGAAGGGUAGUAACUUAAUACGUUGCUGCUUUGACGUUACCGACAGAAUAAGCACCGGCUAACUUCGUGCCAGCAGCCGCGGUAAU
rnacentral:rRNA from 1 species